AACGAACGCUGGCGGCAUGCCUAACACAUGCAAGUCGAACGAGACCUUCGGGUCUAGUGGCGCACGGGUGCGUAACACGUGGGAAUCUGCCCUUUGCUUCGGAAUAACAGUUAGAAAUGACUGCUAAUACCGGAUGAUGUCGAAAGACCAAAGAUUUAUCGGCAAAGGAUGAGCCCGCGUAGGAUUAGGUAGUUGGUGGGGUAAAGGCCUACCAAGCCGACGAUCCUUAGCUGGUCUGAGAGGAUGAUCAGCCACACUGGGACUGAGACACGGCCCAGACUCCUACGGGAGGCAGCAGUGGGGAAUAUUGGACAAUGGGCGAAAGCCUGAUCCAGCAAUGCCGCGUGAGUGAUGAAGGCCUUAGGGUUGUAAAGCUCUUUUACCAGGGAUGAUAAUGACAGUACCUGGAGAGUAAGCUCCGGCUAACUCCGUG
rnacentral:rRNA from 1 species